GACGAACGCUGGCGGCGUGCCUAACACAUGCAAGUCGAAUGCGAACGGGGAGCUUGCUCCCCAAGUAGAGUGGCGCACGGGUGAGUAACACGUGGGUAACCAACCCCCGGGUGGGGGAUAACAGCUCGAAAGGGCUGCUAAUCCCGCAUGAGACCACGAUGGCGCAGGCCAUCGGGGCCAAAGGAGAAAUCCGCCUGGGGACGGGCCCGCGUCCCAUCAGCUUGUUGGUAGGGUAAUGGCCUACCAAGGCAGUGACGGGUAGCUGGUCUGAGAGGACGACCAGCCACACUGGGACUGGAACACGGCCCAGACUCCUACGGGAGGCAG
rnacentral:rRNA from 1 species